AUGGCACAAGGGAGCUUGACUGCGAGACCUACAAGUCGAGCAGGUACGAAAGUAGGGCAUAGUGAUCCGGCGGUUGCGUGUGGAAGCGCCGUCGCUCAACGGAUAAAAGGUACGCCGGGGAUAACAGGCUCAUCUUCCCCAAGAGUCCAUAUCGACGGGAAGGUUUGGCACCUCGAUGUCGGCUCAUCGCAUCCUGGGGCUGAAGCAGGUCCCAAGGGUUGGGCUGUUCGCCCAUUAAAGCGGUACGCGAGCUGGGUUUAGAACGUCGUGAGACAGUUCGGUCCCUAUCCUCUGUAGUCGUAGGAGAAUUGACGAAGGCUGUCCCUAGUACGAGAGGACCGGGAUGGACGCAGCUCUCGUGUGCCAGUUGUUCCGCCAGGAGCAUGGCUGGUUGGCGACCUGCGGAAGGGAUAACCGCUGAAGGCAUCUAAGCGGGAAACCCGUUCGAAGAUUGGUUCUCCCACCGGGUUAACCGGGUAAGGCCUGUGGUAGACCACCACGUUGAUAGGCCGGAUGUGUAAGUGCAGCAAUGCAUUCAGCAGACCGGUACUAAUCGGCCGAGGGCUUGGA
rnacentral:rRNA from 1 species